CGGUCGAGAUGAAUUGAGAAGUUCAUUUCCGCCGCGCCAUUUUGUUAAGUGUGGUAGUAAUAGUAGUUAUCAAGGCUUAGGCCUAAGUUUUAGAAAUUAGCCUUCUGUGUAACAUAGUGCUACACGUUUUAUUAAUUCCAGUCUAAUUUUGCACCAUCUUAUUUUUUCAUUAUAAGAUGUCCACACUACAACAGCAGAGGAAGGUUGUAGAACAGCUACGCCGAGAAGCUUCCAUUCGAAGAGUGAAUGUUUCUGUGGCCAUUGAAGAUUUGAAGAAAUACAUUCAAGAACAUGAAAAUGAUGACUAUCUGCUUGUGGGCUUCCACUCUCAAAAAGCCAACCCUUUCAGAGAAAAGAGUUCCUGUACAAUACUCUGAUAAGGAUUUAUAUUUUUUUGAUCUCCUGUUCUUCAGCAUAGCUAUAAUGAAAAAUAUAAUUAUGUCCAUAAAUGACAUAACUAAACAGAAUGUACAGUUUUUUUCUUAUUGGAACUUAAUCCUUAUUGGUUGGACCUUCACCUAUCAGUUUCCAAAUGUUUCAGUUCAAUAAAAAGAAAACUUUCCGUUAAAGAGCUUGGGUUGUAGAACAGGAGAUCGAUUUCAUAUGCUGUUAAGCAGCUACAUUUUUGCAGUAAUUUCUUAUUUUCUGUUUCAGUUUGAAAGCUCAAACUUACCUGGCACUUAAUGAAGGAAGUUGGUCUGUAAUAAUUAACAACAGAUAUUGUUAACAAAAGAUAUAAUGUUCUGUAUAAUAAUACAAAAAUAUCAUGUUUAUUUCAUUAAGUUAAAUGUUUUCACAAACCUUGCCUAACAGGCACUGCCAUGUGUAAGGUGUUUUCUUUGAGUAAUUGCAAACAACUAUUAAACUUUUGUUACUGUUGGAAACUUAUUGCUGUCCAAUAGCUACAAAAUGCCCCAAUAUAAUCACAUUUGAGAGUUUUCAUAAAUGUUUACCCUAUAAUGAUCUUCUUACAUGUGAUUCCAACUGUAGUUGUAGUCACUUCUUUUGUUGUUAUGAUUAGGUUGAUUGUAGUAACAUUAUAACCAGUUGCACACUUUACACAGAGACUAAUGGUGUGCAGAAGAUUGAAUCCAGUGGUAGUUUAACAUUCAGUUGAUCAAGUCUGCAGGAUUUCACUGGAAGUUUCUGAGCAAGUUUUAAGGAGAAAGUUAAGAAAGUGAUUAUUUCAGCAGCAUUUUAAUGUGUUGACUUGUGGUGGCCCAGGCUCUUAACUUACAUGAAAAAAAGGAAAAUUCAAAUAGCAGUACAUCAUACAUCAGGAAAAUUAAGAUGCAUUUAAAAUGAUGUUGUCAACAAAAGGUGAACUGUCAGGCUUCUUCAGUGUGUGUUAGUUGUUUAGAUUGCUAUUUUCAGAGAAAAUCUUAAGUUGUUAAAUAUACUUUCCUUAAUAUAUAAUUUUUUAGCAUUGCUAAUAGAUUCCCAUAAAGUAGUGCUGAUUCUUCAGACAACAGUAUCAGACUUUAUGAGGUUAUUAAUCUGACCUAUGUAAAUUCUAAAAACAAUGAUUUGUGAAUCUGUAAUUACCUUUUUGUCUGUAGAAGGAAAUAUUUUUAGAAAGGAAAGUGGUGCUUUGGAGAACGAGUGUGUUGACCAGCCUUAACAUUCUGUGUUGGCUUAUACAAGGUACAAAAUAACUAUCAGCUAGCAUGAACAGAAGUUGUCAUAUGAUGAGAAUCAAGUAUAUACUUGUUCUUAAAAUUUUUGUUUUUCAAUUUUUAACAGUGGCAGAUACAUCUCAUGUUUUUUACAAACUUCCAGUGACAAAGCCCAUUUGCUUAUCUUUUCUGCAGUGUUGCAACAAUCCAUUAGUGUCUUGUUAUCUUUAAAUAAGCUUGGAAGUUAGUUCUACCCAUUGUGAAUAAAAUUGUGUGGCCAAGCUGAAAUGUUGCCAAAUCUAUAUAUCUAAGUGUAAGUACUCAGCCUGUUUGACUACUGUGCUGUUACUAGAAUUGUAUGUAUUGAUGUGAAAAGCGCUUGUGUUGGACAGCCACGGAAGAGCCCCACCGUGACUGUCAUACCUUGUGCUUUAUAACUGUUACGUAUUUUCAUCUUUGUAUGGUCUAGUGUAAGGUAAUAAAUAGCUUGACAUCUAUUA
rnacentral:misc_RNA from 1 species